CCAAUAGCGUAUAUUAAAGUUGUUGCAGUUAAAAAGCUCGUAGUUGAAUUUCGGGAUCAAUAUGUCGGUCGUGCUUAGGUACGUACUGGCAUCGUUGGUUUCUCCUUUCUGAUGAACCAUGAUGCCAUUAAUUUGGUGUUAUGGGGAAUCAGGACUGUUACCUUGAAAAAAUUAGAGUGUUUAAAGCAGGCUAACCCUUGAAUUCAUUAGCAUGGAAUAAUGAAAUAGGACGUUUGAUUCUAUUUUGUUGGUUUCUAGGAUCGACGUAAUGAUUAAUAGGGAUAGUUGGGGGCAUUAGUAUUCAAUUGUCAGAGGUGAAAUUCUUGGAUUUAUUGAAGACUAACUACUGCGAAAGCAUUUGCCAAGGAUGUUUUCAUUAAUCAAGAACGAAAGUUAGGGGAUCGAAGACGAUCAGAUACCGUCGUAGUCUUAACCAUAAACUAUGCCGACUAGGGAUCGGAUGAUGUUAAUUUUUUAAUGACUCAUUCGGCGCCUUACG
rnacentral:rRNA from 1 species